GUCCGAAUCGGUUUGGGACAGUUGAGAGCAACAACCGGCUCGAUUCUACAGUCAGAUAAACUUAAUGAACCAGAACCGUUAUUAAUGUUUCGGUCUACGAGGAUGUGCUAGGAAGACCCGACCCGUUGAUAGCCCUAGUUCAAGAAUAAGUUACGGGUGAAGACCCGUAUGACAUCAACACCGGUAUUUCCUUUCCUUCCCCACUUGGAUCUACUUAUCUUGGAAAGGAGAUAUGCAACCCCUAAUCAAUAAUCAAGGUUUGGCUAUUGCAAGGAAAGAUUCUAACGUGGGAUGUUGAUUUUGGACUAGCACGGCUUAAUGAGUGCUUCAAAAGCAAUGUCGAUCGUGCCACAACAAGCACAUUAUUUGCAGCUCCCGUUGAAAGCUAAGGUAUCAACAGUGACUGCGACCUUGUAAGUCCUCGCAUUCCUUUUACAUGCAAAAGUUUCCAUAGAUUCAGAAAUUUAUUUUUGGUAAUUGGUAUUGUAGGGUAUUUUCUUUUCUUGUUUUAUAAAACUGUUCUCGGUUAUCUAUAGGAAUUGGUGCUUCUACGAGAUUAUGUGGCAGAUACGAUUCAAGUGUACUAAGUGGAGCACCAAUGGUCCCAGUCAAAGCACGCAAAGUGUCCAUCAUAUCCUCGCGACUUACAAGUGCAGCCACUAACGAUGCUUGAAUUGCAGGUUUGGUACACAUCCUCUAAAGCUAUUGCAAUAGGGAAGUUGCUCUCUCCACUCCUUUAUAUAAACUCCUGCAUUUUCUAAGUUGCUUGGGUAGUGUGCGUAGAUGCAGAUUCCACGACGUCAUGCCCGUCUGUGGAACGGGGCUCCCGACUCUUCCACCAUACAAUUCUGACCGGUUCUUGUCGAAACCGUUGGUAAAAGGCAGAACCUAAGHWGUACCUUUUUGUAUGGUUAUAGUACAGUACUUUUCAUGGAAUUUAUGUGACUGAAUAAGCAGAUAGAAAAAUGAUAUACAGUUGCACUAUGAACACCUUACCUCUGGUUUUUCUAGAAUAGUGACCCGAUUCUUCGAUCGGAUAAACUUACCGAACCAAAACCGUUAUGAAUGGUUUGGUCUGCAAGGAUCUGUUGGGAAGACCCGAUCCGUUGAAAGCCCUAGUUCUAGAAUAAGGUACGUGUGAAGACACGUACGAUAUCGACAUCGGUUUUUCCUUUUCUUCCCCACUCGGAACUACUUAUCUUGGUAAAGAGAUUUGCAACCCCUAGUCAAUGUUCAAGGAUUGGCUAUUGCAAGGAAUGAUUCUAAUGUAAUAUGUUGAUUUUGUAAUGACACAUCUUAAUGAGUGCUUCAAAAGCAAUGUCGAUCAUGCCACUACAAGCACAUUACUUGUAUUAUACAUAAAAAUUGACAUUUUAAGUGUACAAUAUGAAAGAAUGAGAAGAAUAUUAACAAUAUGUCACAAAUAAUUAAUAAAGUGAACGAUUUUCGGUCCGAAUCGGUUUGGGACUGUUGAGAGCAAGAACCGGCCCGAUUCACUAGUCGGAUAAACUUACUGAACCAGAACCGUUAUUAAUGUUUCGGUUUGCGAGGACCUGUUGGGAAGACCCGACCCGUUGAUAGCCCUAGUUCAAGAAUAAAUUACGGGUGAAGACCCGUACGACAUCAAUACCGGCAUUUCCUUUCCUUCCCCACUCGGAUCUACUUAUCUUGGCAAGGAGAUAUGCAGCCCCUAGUCAAUAUUCAAGGUUUGGAUUUUGCAAGGAAUGAUUUUAACGUGGGAUGUUGAUUUUGGACUGGCACGACUUAAUAAGGCUUCAAAAGCAAUGUCGAUCGUGCCACAACAGGCACAUUAUUUGGAGCUCCUGUUGAAAGCCAAGGAAUCAAGAGUAACUGCGACCAUGAAUUGGCACUUCUACGAGAUUGUGUGGCAGAUACGAUUCAAGUGUCCAGGAAUUGGCACUUCUACGAGAUUAUGUGGCAGAUACGAUUCAAGUGUACAAAGUGGAGCACCAAUGGGCCCAGACAAAGCACGCAGAGUAAGCCACUAUA